CUCGCGAGAGCAAGCGGACCUCAUAAAAUGCGUCGUAGUCCGGAUUGGAGUCUGCAACUCGACUCCAUGAAGUCGGAAUCGCUAGUAAUCGUGGAUCAGAAUGCCACGGUGAAUACGUUCCCGGGCCUUGUACACACCGCCCGUCACACCAUGGGAGUGGGUUGCAAAAGAAGUAGGUAGCUUAACCUUCGGGAGGGCGCUUACCACUUUGUGAUUCAUGACUGGGGUGAAGUCGUAACAAGGUAACCGUAGGGGAACCUGCGGUUGGAUCACCUCCUUACCUUAAAGAAGC
rnacentral:rRNA from 1 species